UACGUAGGGCGCAAGCGUUAUCCGGAAUUAUUGGGCGUAAAGAGCUCGUAGGCGGUUUGUCGCGUCUGCCGUGAAAGUCCGGGGCUCAACUCCGGAUCUGCGGUGGGUACGGGCAGACUAGAGUGAUGUAGGGGAGACUGGAAUUCCUGGUGUAGCGGUGAAAUGCGCAGAUAUCAGGAGGAACACCGAUGGCGAAGGCAGGUCUCUGGGCAUUAACUGACGCUGAGGCGCGAAAGCUAGGGGAGCGAACGGG
rnacentral:rRNA from 1 species